UAUUAUGUACACGCGUAUCCGUAUGUUGCGAACCGUCGGAAAUUAUUACGAUUAAAAUUUAAUUUAUGCGAUCGAAAUUUAGCGCCAUCGACGUCGAUUAGAAUAUAAUAAUAUAUUAACAACGGUUUACCGGAUGAGGCAGCGGAUCGCGAUAAUACGAUAAUAAUAAUAACAAUAACAAUACGUGAAUUUGAAUUCUUCCUACCGCCCCCGUUUUCGAAUAAUAAUCGACAAAAGAAUGGAAAUAUUAUUAUUUACGAUCACCGCGAGCGAGCAGUUAUUAUUGCAUUAUUCACAGACGAGAAAUUCGCCAAAGUAAACCGGUACCGAUUUCCCCUUAAAAACGAAAACGGUGUAUUUUAAGUAAUUUGUUGGAGUAAACCGAUGUAAGAAUAUGAGUAACUGGUUCGUUUCGGUAAAUAUGGCGAUCAACAGUUACCGAUCUCGGUUUAUUAUCCCCAUUAUUAAUCUGAUAUUUCCCCGUUAUUUAAUUUGUUAAUUUCUUACUACACUUUUAGAUAUCAAUUUACAUUUUACUAUACGCAAUCAAUAAUAAGUUGAAGAAGAGGGCAAAUUGAUUUAUUCAUCAAUUUCUAACUAAAUCGGUUUAAACGGUUAAACCAUGACGAUUUUAAACCAAAUAAUCCAACCAGUAUCACAAACCGGUUUACUCUGGCGAAUUUCUUGAGUGCCUGGCUCGGGAGAUUGCAGAUUAUGCCUAGUAAUUUGUUGGCUAUUUUUUAUUUUCAUGGUUAUUAGCAGCGUUUGUGAUUGAUCUACAGAUAUAUGUAUCCUAAUAUAGGUAAAUGUUUAUCAUUCGUGUUAGAUAAACCUCAGGAAAAUGAGAAAUAAGUUAUCUGAUCUGUUACCUACAGAGAUAAAUAAUUAUGAGCCGUUGUUACAAUGUUCCGUUAAACACUCCGUAUCAAACCCGGAUUGAAGAGUAUUUAAAGGCCCCGAGGUCAAACUUAUUAAUGGAACCCACAAAAAAAAUAAUACAAAAAUCAUUAAGAAAAUGUAAGGAAAAUAAAAAAAUGACUUUACCAACGCAUUAACUAGACGAAAUUUGCUUUCAUAAAAGAUUCUACAAUUGAAAAUCAGAACAAUAUUUCUAGUAUAAAAGUUGUAAACAGACAGAAAAAAAAAAAUAGCAUUAUAUACCUACUCAAUAUAACAAUAUGUUUCAAUAAAAGAAAAACAAUAAAUAAUUUAGAGAUAAUAGAUCUCAGUUUAAAAGCACAAGUAUUUUUUAAAUAAAUA